GCUUACCACUGGUCGGUUUGCGGGCAGUCCGCUUUGUAGGAGCCGUGGUACAGAGACCUCCUUACUUACCCCCCUUCUCCUUCGGCUGGAGCUCGGCGAGCGAGAGGCGGCGCUGGCGUUGGAGAGCGACGGCGGCGCGGCGGCGCCUGCGAACACCAGGGAAGCAGCCUCUAACGUUUGAGGGUCAAUCCAGAUGGAGAGAAGAUAGAGGAGAAAGAGCCGAAUGUGACCCAACCAUAGGUCAUCUCUUGGAUCCUGAGGGAUAGAGAGGGAAAGAGAGGAGCAGAAGUGCAACCAUUGUCUCUGAAGAAGAAAAGUUUUGGCUUGCCUGUCUGUUGGUCUGUGGUUGGGAAACACUGUUCUUCACCUUAAGAUGCCCAUGGGAUCUUGGUCGUACAAGAGCAACAUGGCACAUGCUGAAUAUUUAGCCCAGCAUUAGGAAGACAUGGAUCCAAAAGUAUUGAAAAAAUGACCAGUGUGUGUAAAGGAGACUCCGAGAUUGACUACCAGACUUCUAGAAUGAUGUAACCAUACCUACAUAGAUUGGCUCAACAUAGGCUUGAGAGGUGCACUUGGAUAAGCAUAAAGAACUGUUGGCCAGUGGAAUUCUAAGAGGUGAUCUAUACCGUACAGUGAGCCUCAUACUUGCCAACUUCAUAAAAAUCAGGAAAACAACAACAGAAAUCAUCCUAUUUCAUUGGAAGGAAACUGCUAUACCCUUCGAAGAAAAUGAAACCAAGAUACUAUAUCCUUUGCCUAAUGGGAGCAUAAUUUUCUAACCAUUUGACUUGAUACUUUGAUUUCUUCAACAUUUAUUGACCACCUACUAUAGGCAGACUUUGCUAAGCACCAGGAAUGUAAGGAAGCAAGGAACAGUUUCUGCUUUUCAUGAAUGUCAAGUUCAAAGGAGGAGCAGAUGUAUUCACUGGCAAUGACAAUGCAAUAUGGCAAGUGCUCUGAAAAUG
rnacentral:lncRNA from 10 species